UUUGGUAAAGGGUGGAAGGCUCGGCCUUAUGCCUGGUGUUUUGUUCCACUCUUGCCGCCCUAGUUUCCGUCAUACCGGUGUUAUGUUCCCGGAUUUUGCGUUCCUUACGCGGUCGGGUGAUUUAUGGGACCCCCCUGACAGUUCGCUUUGAAUAAAACUUGUCCAGCAAGGCCCAACAUUGCCUUUUACCAUUUGCCUCACCUAGCCCUUUUUUCCCUUGGGUUUCCAGAGCCCAAGGGUCAUCUUUAUUUACCCCCCCGGGCCAGUGCUCGUUGUGAGUGUUGGUCCAAACCGUCAGCCGCCGGUGGCCACCAGGGGCAACUCUGGGCUGGCCUACCGGAAGUUUGGACAAUCCGGUGUGCCCUGAGAACGAGAUAUGUGCAGCUCCUAUCAGGAUUUGGCGGCACAUUCGAGCGGCUUUGCUGGUCUUGUUUUACCAUUGUCGAAAUGUCUUGAUGUACCGGGAUACCGAGUCUGAUCGGAGUGUCUCGGGUGAAGGUCUAUUCCUUCGUUGAUCGCGAGAGCUUGUCAUGGGCUAAGUUGGGACACCCCUGCAGGGUAUAAACUUUCGAGAGCCGUGCCCGCGGUUAUGUGUCAGAUGGUAAUUUGUUAACGUCCGGUUGUAGAAAACCCGAAGUUGACCUUAAUUAAAAUACAUCAACCGUGUGUGUAACCGUGAUGGUCUCUUUCCGGCGGAGUCCGGGAAGUGAACACGGUGUUGGAGUUAUGCUUGACGUAGGUUGCUAUAGGAUCACUUCUUGAUCAUACUUUUAUCGACCGUGCUUUGCCUUCUCUUCUCGCUCUCAUUUGUGUAUGUUAGCCACCAUAUAUGCUAGUCGCUUGCUGCAGGUCCACCUCAUGCCUUUACCUUACCCAUACGCUUAAAUAGUCUUGAUCUCGCGGAUGUGAGAUUGCUGAGUCCUCGUGACUCACCAGAUACUUCCAAAACCAGUUUGCAGGUGCCUAUGUUACCGAGCAGGAGACGCAACCAAGCUCAAUGAGGAGCUCGAUGAAGAUCUUGCCCUUGGUAUUGUUUCGUUCUAGUUGAUCAGUAGUGGAGCCCAGUUGGGGUCGAUCGGGGACCUUUGUCGCAUUUGGGGUUCUUCUUUUAUUUUGGUUCCGUAGUCGGACCUUGAUUGUAUCUGGAUGAUGUAAUGCUUUAUUCAUGUAUUUGUGUGAAGUGGCGAUUAUAACCCAAUUAUGUAUCUUUUUCCCUUAUGUAUUACAUGGGUUGUGUGAAGAUUACCUCACUUGCGACAUUGCUUUCAAUGCGGUUAUGCCUCUAAGUCGUGCUUCGACACGUGGGAGAUAUAGCCGCAUCGAGGGCGUUACAAGUUGGUAAUCAGAGCCUUCCCCGACCUUAGGAGCCCCACUGCUUGAUUGUUUUUAGCGGCCGAGUUGUGUCUAGAAAAAUGUUUUGAGUCAUUUAGGAUUAUAUAUAUCGGAGAGUUAGGAAUUCUUUUUACUCCUCAGUCCCUUCGUCGCUCUGGUGAGGUAUCCUGACGUAGAGUUUUGACUCUUCUCUUCUCAAAUUUCACUAAAUUUUUUUUAGGAUCACGCGGGUAUCUUAGAAUCGUUCCGAUGGUUUUAUGAUGACAACAUUGUCUUGGUGCCUCCCGUCAGCAGGGGUUUUUUUUAGUGGAGGUGUCCCAGGGAGUUGAGCUCCGAGGUGUUGUCGUCAUAAUUUUAUCGUUGCAGUUCUGGAAUACCUGAGUUUAGUACGCCGACAUCGAAAAUCUCUUUUAUGCAGUUGUUGGUGAGAUAACCCCGCUAACCCAGUACUGAGGUGAGUACGGGAGUAUUGCCAUGACUCGUAUAACGGAUGCUUUUCGAAGGUUGAGGUACACGAUUUCCGAAGGUUUCUUGGUUAUGUGUUGACGGAUGGAUACAGCUUGGAUGUAGGUAUUGUUAGUUUGGGUGAGAUAUAUUGCUUCCCCUGUAUCCCCAACACCUGAUUGCAUAACCGGAAAGUUUCGGGAGUUUUAUAGGUGGGAGUUCAAGUAGCUCCUAGAAUAUCUUUUCGACAGAUGCAUGAUAUGAGAUUGGGUAAAUCUCUAUCAUAUGUAUUUGUUCCGGCUUAUUCUGCAAGCCAAAUCCUUUGUUUUGUUUUACUUGUGGUAUUCGAGUUGCUUCGAAGUCAAAUGUUGAAUCCAUACCUUUCCUAAACGGUGUUCUCAUAUUGCUAUGUGAAUACUAAUCCUUUUGAUCAUUGAUUUUGUCAUGUCAACUCCUUUCCAACCGGCGUGUUUCUCUUCAAGUGGAUCAGAUCACUUCAACAUCAGCAAGACCAAUUAUCAUUUCUUCUCAACGGUGUUUGUUUCAUCCGUCUCCAAGUUGCCUUUGUUCUUUUCCGCCCACCCACCCUUUUUCCUCAAGGACUAAGAUUUCUUUACCAAGUAUCCUUUUAUUUUUGUGAAGUUUCUCCAUUCUUUUCGGUCAAUGUUCUUACCCGGUGGUUCUCAAGAAGAUGUUCUACUAGUUCGUCAUUCCUCAUUCCUUUCUCUUCUCCGGUGGAUUCAAGUCAAGUUUUGUUGAUCAUACCUUUUUCCUCAUUUCAAUGUCUUCUCAUACCGGUGCACCUCAUUAUCAUUCUUCUUCUCGCUAUUUGUUAUUCCGAAGUUCUCAAGAUAUCUCGAAGAUUCGUGUUUCCACUCUGCAUUCGUUCAAGCUCUUUCGAGAUUGUUAUCUCAUUCAAGUCAUUUAAUUCAACCGGUGCAACAUCUUUUUUUAAAAUCUUUUCAAUGGUGUUCUUUUGAGUGGGCCCUAACCCACAGGUCUUUUCCCAGGAUCUUACCUGACUCUUCUAUUUUUCCAGAGCUAUCCUAAAUUCUUCUCCAAGUUUGACGUAAGAAUGAGUAUCAUCAGUCAAAUGCUUUUCUCCAAGAUCUUUCAAAUUCUUUUCAUAGUUGGCUCAACCUCUUCGCUUUUGAUUCUUCUGGUGUGCCUCAAUAAUUCUUGGUGGUGUUUCUCAUUGUCAUUCUCAUCAUUUGAAGACCGAAGAAGAGUUUCUCUUUAAUCUUGCUCUAUUCUCUUCAAGAUUCUUGGUGCUAGCUUGUUGCCAUCCUCUCAUAAUUGUUUUCGAUUGUGAGAAUCUUUUUCACCCAUCCGGAGCAUUUUAGUAGUCUUUUCAGUUUCAUUCUUUGAAGCCCAUCAUCUCAGUAUUAUUCAUUCAAGCUUUCAGCUCUCAUUCUCCUAUCUUGCCGAUGCAUCAAUCGAAUAUCCUCUAAUCAGUUCUUGAUCUCUUUGUUCUCAUGUAUCUAGUUUGUCUCAAGCACCUUCGUUCAUUUGCUAAUUCUUACCGAUGAUGCACCCCUACUUCUUUCAUUUUCAAUCCUUACGGUGGUUCUUUCAAGAUCUCUCUUCCUUGUUCAUCAUAUCAAUUCAUUUGUUGUUCCAAUCCUACCGGUGGUUCAUUGAAGACCUUCUCAAGUUUUGAUAUAUCUCUUUUAAUCCUUUCUACGGGAAUAAGUAGUAUGCCAAAUCCGUUGCUUGUCAUCAAUUUAAAUUGGUGAAGGAUACGCAUAACAUAAUUCUUGUUCUUGUUUCAUCCAAGUGAUUAAUCCUUUCCUUCAGAGUUUGUUCAGGUGGAAUAAAUUCUUGGCUUCUUGUUGUUCAUCUUUCUUCCGGAGUUCUAAGUUUUACGCUUUAUCUCGUCGCGAAGCUCCAUCUAAAUCAUUGCAAGGCUUCACCUUGUGUUUUCAACUUCUCUUUCUUUCUAUCACCCUUUUGUUUACCAGAGUUCUUCAUGGAGUUUCUUCAUGGUGGUUCGUCAAGGAUUCCUUUCAUUCUUCAAUUGUUCUUCAAGAUUUCUCUUGAAGUUAAGAUCCGUCAAGCCAUACUUCAAAAUAUACAUGGUGCUCAACACAUGUCUUGUUUUGAGGAGUUCAAGCAUUCUUCAUCUUGCAUUCCGAAGUGCGAUUCUUCCUACCUUAUCUUCUGAGGUGGUGUUAGGUCAUUCUUGAUAAUUUUCCCUUCGCGUUUCAUGAUUCACAAGUUUUCAAGAGUGACAUAUUUAAAUCCAUCUUUUUCUCUUUGUUCAAGAGAUCUUUUCAACCGUCAAUCUCUUCAUUGGAGUUAUCUUGGUAUAGAUUUCACCUAAAGCCUUCCCUAAGGAAUGUUGCUAUUUUGGUGCUUAUUAAUGACCCAAGUUAUCUCUUUUCCAUCUUGAUGGAACAAGCUUUCAUCUCUUCGUUAAUCUUAAGCAAGCAAUUGUUUCCGUUAGUGGCCGGUUGUCACCUCAUAAUGUUGAGAUGUUUCCAUAAGCCCACUACAAACUUAUUCUUUUCGUUGUUGGUCUUCCAACAACUCUAUUAUAACCUUCUUGCAAGGAUGCCUUCAAAAUUCAAUUGUGGUACAAGUUGUCAUUUUCUUCUCCAUUCUGUUAUCCCAAUGACCGAUCUUCUAUUCUUUCUCCCGGAGGCUUUUUGAUGUUGCUCUCUUCACCCAUCAUAUCGCUUUGUCAAGACCAUGUUCUUUUCGUGCUUAUCCAUUAAUCGAAGUGUUGUGUCAUCUCUUCAAGUUUUUCAUCUUAUAAAGUUUUGCCUCUCUUUUCAACCUUAGUGCUGUCUGAAAUCCUUCUUACCCAUUGUGCCAUUCUUUUAAUAGUUCCGGAGGCAGUGUGUUGUUCAUUUCAUCAAGUAUCCUCUCAUCUUGUCAAGUUUAUGUUCAAUUCCUUCCAUUUUCAGUCGGUGUGCUGCCCAAAUUAUAUCAUUCUUAUUCCUUCUCUAUCUUGUUUUAGCCGGAGUGGUUUCAAUACCUAUCUUAUCACUAAACCUCUUGGUUCUAGUCGUAUCCCAUGUUCCUCUUUUCUAACAGAGUGUUUUCAACUUUGUUCAUCUUCGUUGUUUUCUUUCUUUCAUUUUGUUCAACCUCUCAAGGUCUGUGGUUUCACUCGUUUGUAAAAAGAAGCAACUUAGCUUUACCUCUCCACUUUCUCUUCCGUUUUCCCUCCGGUGCCAUCCUAGAUCUCGGGACGAGAUCCUCUCGUAGUGGUGGAGUGUUGUAACGCCCCGAGACCGACGCUCCAGAAGACUUCCAGCUACUCCGAGUUUCGUCGUGUGAUUUGUUUUGUUUGUUGCAUCUCUUGCAUUGCAUCAUGUCAUCUUGCCAUCAUAUCAUUAAUUUUAAAAACUCAACUAAAUAAAUUGUAUGGAUCUUCGAUCUAUUUAAAUCGAGGGAAUUCACAUGGUGAUUUCUCUUUAUAACAUAUUAAAGCCUCUCAAUAUUAUUAGAGAGCUAUAAUAAAAAUAUUCCAUUCAUUUGGAAUUAACCAAAACACACUUGAAAAAUCCCCACUCCCUUUCUACUUCAAGUUUGGUCCCCAAACCUUGUCAACAUUUCUUUUCCCAUUUAUCGAGGCUCCUCCUAAAUUCUCAACAUUUUUGGACUCUUCUAAAUCCUAGUCCUUGUUCAAACCUUUUGAAUUAAAUUCAAAUGCCUUUGAAUUUAGUUCUUGCAUUCUUGCCCACUCCAUUUUCCUUGGAACAAGCAUAUUUUUACGAGUCCGUAAAAAUUUAUCCCCAUGCCCAGAUUCCACCCCUAACUUCUCUUUCUCUUCUUCCUCUUUUUCUGUUUUGUUUUAAUUAGUAAAGGAAAUAGGGGAGAGGGAGAAGAGAGUCCAGCCCAGCCUGGGCCUCCCAGCCUCCCGCGCCGGCCCAAGGCCAAAGCCCAGCCGACCUAACCCUAGCCCUAACCCCCCUGCCCGAUCCCCUCAGCCAUCGCUCCCUCGUUUCCCUCACAGCGCCGCAACCCCUCCUAUCGAUCCCAUCUCCCUCCUCUGCGCUCGCAUCUCUCGCCCUCGAUCCCCAUCUCCCCCCUCGAUCCCCCUCUCUCUCUCGUGCCCGAUCCCAUCGCCUCUCCACUUCCUGCAUCGCCAUGGCCGCCGGCCUUCGCCCCUGCCGGCCCCGUCGCCUCUGUGCGCGAGCGCCGAGCGCCCACCUCCUCCCUCGCGCGGCUCCUUCCCUGCCUCCUCCGCAAUCCACUCAUCGUCGUCGCCCUCAUCUUCCACCAUCGUUGCCCCUGCAGCCUCCCCUCCUCCACGUCGUCGCCUCCCCAUGGCGCCGCGACCGACCUCCCGCGUCCGCCAUCGGCUCCUCUGCUUCGCCCGUCCCUUGCUCCGCUUCCAUCGCCGGCGACCACGACCAGCCACCUCCCUCCUUGGAGCUCCCAUGGCCGCCACACCCUGUUCCACCUCGCCUCCACCUGGAUCCGCUCCACCUCUCCCAUGCGUCUCCUCCAUCAGCAGCCGGCAACGUCCGAGGGAAGCCGAGCACCUCCAUCCCCAUGGUGCUGCGACCCCAUCUCCUGCGCGAGAUCCGCAUCGCCGCAAUUCUGCUCCAUGCGCCCAUCUCUGUUGCAUCGCCGUGGCCCUGUUCGCGUGAAGCCCCGGCCUCCUGUACCCGUGCUGCACUUUGAUGCCCGCUAUCAUCAUGCACCUUCACUUGCUGUUGCUGUUGGCGUCAAGACCGUGGGUGCCAAGUUCGUCUUCCGCCAUCUCUGGGAUUCGCCAAGUACCAUGACGCCCCCCCCCCCGAAGUGUUCGGGUUCGACAAGUCCGAUGUCGUGCUUGUACAACUACGCUGCCAAGUACCUCUACCGGUGACUCGAACAACUACCGCAAACGUGUACAACUACCGUCGCCAANNNNNNNNNNNNNNNNNNNNNNNNNNNNNNNNNNNNNNNNNNNNNNNNNNNNNNNNNNNNNNNNNNNNNNNNNNNNNNNNNNNNNNNNNNNNNNNNNNNNNNNNNNNNNNNNNNNNNNNNNNNNNNNNNNNNNNNNNNNNNNNNNNNNNNNNNNNNNNNNNNNNNNNNNNNNNNNNNNNNNNNNNNNNNNNNNNNNNNNNNNNNNNNNNNNNNNNNNNNNNNNNNCGAACAACUACCGCAAACUUGUACAACUACCGUUGCAAGAACCGAGACCGGCAAGUCCGAAGACCCCAAGUACCACGACUACCCUCGAGGACGUUUUCUCCGUCAAGUUCGACUACAACUCGUGUACGACUACCGUCGCCGUGAACAACUACUUCCACUACAUCGCGAGAACGCCUACUUCCCUCUACGAAACGCGAACCGUCCCAUUUGAACCCUUCGAAGGUAUAACCCGAGACGACCGUGAUGAGAUGCCCUUGCAUGUAUGAGAUGUACCUUAUGUUUGCACCAUGUCCGAGUUGCCUUUGCGCGUUCCUCGUUUGCCAUGCCACUAACCCGUGGGAACCCGGUAGUCAGGAGCACCCCACCAUCUCUAGCAUGUUGCGCACAUCCACACGCUCCCUUUUGCACCGGUAUCUCGGUGAGCUAUCGGAACCGAUAUGUUGCCGUGGCAUCAUUUUCGGAUAUGUUGCCGUGGCACCAUUUCCGUUUCGCCGCCGUGGGACCCUUUUCGUUUCGCCGCCGUGGCACCCUUUUUUGUUCUGCCACGGUGACAAAUGCUUCAUAACAUGCUCUUGUCAACAUUUUCAUAAAAAUUGCAUAAAACUUGCAUAUGUCAUCCGCAUCAUGAUAAUAACAAUUAAAAUGUUUAAACUUGUUGUUGCAUUAAAUUGCUAAAUGCAUGUGGGGAUUUACCGGAAUUGUUGUUUGUUGUUCCGGCCUCACUUAUACUUGCCUAGAUAGGUAGUUUUCAUAUGCCUCACCUCUUGCCAUGCUUAACAACAUUUAAUAUUGUUGGGUACAUAACCGAGAGAGAACUAAAUAAUUGAUGUGGUGUUCCAUCAAUAUGCAACUCGUUGCAUAUUGAGCUCCACUUAACUUGUAGUGUUGUUUGUGCAUAUUGCCAUGCCAUGCCUCUUUAAACCGGACAUGCAUCAUACUUGUUUGUGCAUCAUGACAUGUUUAUGCUUGUGUGUUUACCAUAUUGUUUGCUUCUUUCCGGUUUGCUUCUCUCGUUAGCUUCGGUUUCAUUCCGGAGUUGUGAGGUUUCGCUCGACUACGCCCGUUCGUCUUCUUCAUGGAAUCGUUCUUCUUCCUUGCGGGAUUUCAGGCAAGAUGAUCAUACCCUCGAAAUCACUACUAUCUUUGCUAUGCUAGUUUGCUCUCUCUUUUGCUAUGACAAUUCUACGAUGCCUACCAUUUGCUUGUCAGCCUCCCAAAUUGCCAUGUCAAACCUCUAACCUUUGACACUAUUCCUAGCAAACCGUUGUUUGGCUAUGUUACCGCUUUGCUCAGCCCCUCUUAUAGCGUUGUUAGUUGCAGGUGAAGAUGAAGUUUGUUCCUUGUUGGAACAUGGAGAUGCUGUUCCUUGUUGGAACAUGUUUACUUGUUGGGAUAUCACAAUAUCUCUUAUAUUUUUAAUGCAUCUAUAUAUUUGGUAAAGGGUGGAAGGCUCGGCCUUAUGCCUGGUGUUUUGUUCCACUCUUGCCGCCCUAGUUUCCGUCAUACCGGUGUUAUGUUCCCGGAUUUUGCGUUCCUUACGCGGUCGGGUGAUUUAUGGGACCCCCCUGACAGUUCGCUUUGAAUAAAACUUGUCCAGCAAGGCCCAACAUUGCCUUUUACCAUUUGCCUCACCUAGCCCUUUUUCCCUUGGGUUUCCGGAGCCCAAGGGUCAUCUUUAUUUACCCCCCCGGGCCAGUGCUCGUUGGGAGUGUUGGUCCAAACCGUCAGCCGCCGGUGGCCACCAGGGGCAACUCUGGGAUGGCCUACCAGAAGUUUGGACAAUCCGGUGUGCCCUGAGAACGAGAUAUGUGCAGCUCCUAUCAGGAUUUGUCGGCACAUUCGGGCGGCUUUGCUGGUCUUGUUUUACCAUUGUCGAAAUGUCUUGAUGUACCGGGAUACCGAGUCUGAUCGGAGUGUCUCGGGUGAAGGUCUAUUCCUUCGUUGAUCGCGAGAGCUUGUCAUGGGCUAAGUUGGGACACCCCUGCAGGGUAUAAACUUUCGAGAGCCGUGCCCGCGGUUAUGUGGCAGAUGGGAAUUUGUUAAUGUCCGGUUGUAGAAAACCCGAAGUUGACCUUAAUUAAAAUACAUCAACCGUGUGUGUAACCGUGAUGGUCUCUUUCCGGCGGAGUCCGGGAAGUGAACACGGUGUUGGAGUUAUGCUUGACGUAGGUUGCUAUAGGAUCACUUCUUGAUCAUACUUUUAUCGACCGUGCUUUGCCUUCUCUUCUCGCUCUCAUUUGCGUAUGUUAGCCACCAUAUAUGCUAGUCGCUUGCUGCAGCUCCACCUCAUGCCUUUACCUUACCCAUAAGCUUAAAUAGUCUUGAUCUCGCGGAUGUGAGAUUGCUGAGUCCUCGUGACUCACCAGAUACUUCCAAAACCAGUUUGCAGGUGCCUAUGUUACCGAGCAGGAGACGCAACCAAGCUCAAUGAGGAGCUCGAUGAAGAUCUUGCCCUUGGUAUUGUUUCGUUCUAGUUGAUCAGUUGUGGAGCCCAGUUGGGGUUGAUCGGGGACCUUUGUCGCAUUUGGGGUUCUUCUUUUAUUUUGGUUCCGUAGUCGGACCUUGAUUGUAUCUGGAUGAUGUAAUGCUUUAUUCAUGUAUUUGUGUGAAGUGGCGAUUGUAAGCCAACUAUGUAUCUUUUUCCCUUAUGUAUUACAUGGGUUGUGUGAAGAUUACCUCACUUGCGACAUCGCUUUCAAUGCGGUUAUGCCUCUAAGUCGUGCUUCGACACGUGGGAGAUAUAGCCGCAUCGAGGGCGUUACAC
rnacentral:lncRNA from 1 species